rnacentral:ncRNA from 1 species
AAUGACCGAUACCCAUGACUGGUCACCAAAACCAGUGGGGAUUACCUAUUGAUAGGCUGCUGUAUUGAGUACAUUACCGCCCCCCUCAUACCUCAACAAUGUUUCGCACUGGUGCAUAGGUAUCGUUUA